UGACCCUGCUCUCCCCGCACCUAGAGCCAACUAAGGCCGCCCCCCGCCAGGAUGCCUGUCUGCCUCCCAACGCGACUUCCCUGCCCGACUUUGGAAGCUAUUCUGCUUUGGGGUUUGGAUCCCGGUCGCCCCGGAGCGGCGGAAAGGCCGCGGCGAUAAGAACGCAGCGGAGGAGGCCAGUGGCCGCAGCCUGCCCCAGCCCCCACCCCGCGGGUAACCUUGGAGGCGCCCGAAGAGAUGAAGAUCUGGGAGUUUUUAGCAGCACUUUUUGUCUUCUAUGAACAAAUAUAAUUUAUUUAGGAUCAAGCCAGAUGGAAAGGUCUUUCAGAAAAAUUACACAAAUCAAUCAACAAUCACCUAUGGAGGACCCAUCAUCAAAAUUGCUUCAUAGCUUCACAACAUUGGUACUAAUUAUAUCUCAGGCUUUCCACAUCUAUAAAAUGGGGGUAAUAAUACCUAACUUGCCAUGUUAUUAUUACUAAUAAAUGGAGUGUGUAUAAAAUUCUUGGUACUCAGUAGUGUUUAAUAAAUGGC